rnacentral:tmRNA from 1 species
GGGGGUGAAUUGGUCUCGACUUAGGGGGUCGGGUAAGAGCAGCAUGUCGCGGACGCAUGGUUAGCCGCGUUAAUAACCCGUGCACAAUACAAACGCAAACAACCGUUUGUUCAAUGUCAAUUCGGCAAUGCCGGUGACGCCAGCAAUGGCGAAACCAAUGGCAAUGCCGUUUGGCAUGAUGCCAGCCUUCGGUAACUAAUUUACCGAAGCCAUCCUUCGUCUAGCCUACGAGACGAAAGGGUGCACUAGUAGGAUAGUCCUUGCAAGUUAGCCUUUGAGGCCGGGGCAAAAAUUUAAAAGGCUGCGUCUUAAACAAUCAUGUUUACCGGAGUGUUUAAGAUUAAGUUUAAAAGGUAGACUAAACAUGUAGCGGCUUUUAUUCGGUUACUUAAGGACGCCGGUUCGAUUCCGGCCACCUCCACCA